GAAAGUAAUUUCAUAGGGCCGAUCCGGUUCGUUGGGCGUGCUUCGAGGAGGCCUCUGCCGUCGCUUGCCUUCGUGUUCGCGGCCGCGUCAGCUCUCCUCGAUCUCACCCCCCUCGAUUCGUCACCUGUUUAUGUGGACGGCGCAGGCCCGGGGCCCGCGAGGUUCCUCCCCGUUGCCAAUGCUGAAUCGUCUUCUUAGCCCUGGCGAAUGUGGAUGCCGCUGUCGUCGUCGCUCGCCGCUCUCCUCCGGUCUGUCUGUCUGUCUGUCGUUUCGGCGGCAGCAGCAGCAGCAGCCGAGGGAUGAGCGCGAGCGCGCGGCGUGGCGGUUUAUUCCUCCUCUUCACCGGUUGAUAAGAGUCGUUUUCCGCAGACGGGGCCGAACAGCGGGUCCUCCGAGCGCAUAUUCUGGUACCCGAAAGAUGGUGAUCUAUGCCUGGCCAGGAUGAAGCCAGGGGAAACCCUGGUGGAGGUCCGAAGCGAUUCUGACGUGCAAAUCGAUCGUCGGAGCUGCGCAUAGGGGCGAAAGACCAAUCGAACCAUCUAGUAGUG
rnacentral:rRNA from 1 species